GGCGAACGCUGGCGGCGUGCCUAAUACAUGCAAGUAGAACGCUGAAACUUGGUGCUUGCACCGAGCGGAUGAGUUGCGAACGGGUGAGUAACGCGUAGGUAACCUGCCUGGUAGCGGGGGAUAACUAUUGGAAACGAUAGCUAAUACCGCAUAAGAGUAGAUGUUGCAUGACAUUUGCUUAAAAGGUGCAAUUGCACCACUACCAGAUGGACCUGCGUUGUAUUAGCUAGUUGGUGGGGUAACGGCUCACCAAGGCGACGAUACAUAGCCGACCUGAGAGGGUGAUCGGCCACACUGGGACUGAGACACGGCCCAGACUCCUACGGGAGGCAGCAGUAGGGAAUCUUCGGCAAUGGACGGAAGUCUGACCGAGCAACGCCGCGUGAGUGAAGAAGGUUUUCGGAUCGUAAAGCUCUGUUGUAAGAGAAGAACGAGUGUGAGAGUGGAAAGUUCACACUGUGACGGUAGCUGACCAGAAAGGGACGGCUAACUACGUG
rnacentral:rRNA from 1 species